rnacentral:lncRNA from 1 species
CAAAUAAUAAAAAUUGUGCAGUGAAACCCAUUUAUAACUAUCUAAUUCAGUUUUCUUUCAGAAUUAAUGAUAAAAGAAAGUAAAAAAAUCCAAUUUAACCAUUGUUUUCUCUGUUUUUGUGAUUUAAUUCCGAAGGAAAUUGGGUAAAAGGGCCUAGAAAGCACACAUACCUUGAUUGAGUUAGCACAGGAGAGGGAAAAUGUAGGAUCCAUUUAACCGCUGAAAUGAAACAUUAAAAAUAUGGGUUUUGGGGAAAAAAACGUAGGGUGUUAGGAUAAAACGUAGGGUUUUGGGUAGGUUUUUGAAAAACUUUUUGGUUUUCUACAAGAGUAAUAGAGAGAUUUCACCCACUGUAAAAAAAAUUCAUGAGUUAGGGUUAGAUUGUGGCUUGGGUUAGAGAAAAAAAAUCAAGAUAAUCACUCGCCCGAUUGGUGCCCUAAACAGAGGAGGAGUAUGUGGCAUCUGUGGCAGAACCGAAGCUUCUCAGCGAGAGGAGAUGACGACGGUCAGGCUUCGUAGAGAGGGGAGGGGAUGAACGAGAAAGAAUAGCUUUUCACUUCACAAAGUAGAGGAGAA